GAUGAACGCUGGCGGCGUGCUUAACACAUGCAAGUCGAACGGUGAAGCAGGAGCUUCCUCUUGUGGAUCAGUGGCGAACGGGCGAGUAACACGUGCGCACCCUGCCCCUGACUCCGGGAUAAGCGCUGGAAACGGCGUCUAAUACUGGAGAGGUGAUGUGACCGCAUGGUCUGUAUCUGGAAAGAAUUUCGGUUGGGGAUGGGCUCGCGGCCUAUCAGCUUGCUGGGGAGGUAAUGGUUAGCCAAGGCGUCGACGGGUAGCCGGCCUGCGAGGGUGACCGGCCACACUGGGACUGAGACACGGCCCAGACUCCUACGGGAGGCAGCAGUGGGGAAUAUUGCACAAUGGGCGGAAGCCUGAUGCAGCAACGCCGCGUGAGGGAUGACGGCCUUCGGGUUGUAAGCCUCUUUUAGCAGGGAAGAAGCGAAAGUGACGGUACCUGCAGAAAAAGCACCGGCUAACUACGUGCCAGCCGCCGCCGUAA
rnacentral:rRNA from 1 species